rnacentral:ncRNA from 1 species
GUUAAAUAAGGGCAAACCUGCCGAAAGGCAGGGACGCAAAGCCUCAGGCCUAAGGCAAAGCUAAGGUGGCUGGGUUGCCAAG